AGAACUUUAAGAUAAUAAACUUUUGUUGCUUUAAACCACCAGAUAUGUGAUGAUGUGUUACAUUAGCAAUAGAAAACUGACCUAUACCUCCCUGUCCAUGUUCUAGAACUUCUAGGUAAAUUUCUCAAUUCUUUAUCUUUAGGCAUCUUCUCUGCCUGCGAGACCAUCAAUAAUGGAAAAGGAUUUUUCCAGUGCUUUUUAGGCCAGAGAGAGAGAGGGAAGGAAGGAAGAAAAGAGCAAGACAAAGAGGAAGCAAGCCAGUGGAACAGUGAAUGCUGUAAUGCAAAGGUUCCUGCGACUCCAGCUUGUAGGAACAGAGUGACUUCUGCUUAAGCAUAUGUCUGUAUCACAUUCCUCACCACUCAGGAGAGGUAUCAAGAUUAAAGGAAUAUAUGGAAGCAUUUUAAAAAUAUGAGCA
rnacentral:lncRNA from 1 species